ensembl:lincRNA
CGGGAGGUCGGGCGACCCCUGACCCUCGCCCCGGAAGUCGGGGUGAGUCGGAAGUGCUUGCUCGGUCGCUAGGAGACGGGCGGCUGGCGCGAGGGGCGGGGCUUCUGGCGGCGUCGGCGCGGUAGGGAGGCAGGUGAGGCAGGUGAGGCUGCGGCGGCGGCGCCGAGCGGCGGAUGGGGCCGGGCCGGUCCCCGCGCGCACAGGGACGCCCCCGCACCCCCGACGCGCCCACGCAGAGAGGACCGAGCGCGCACGGACACGGGGCCGCGCACCGACGGCACACUGGGGCCGCCCCCACGAGCCCUCGCGUGGCCAGGGGACCCGGCCCGCCCACGGAGCCCUGCACAGGGACACCCCCCCCCAGCUCGCACAGGAAGCCUUCAGCUGCCGGUUCCCAGAGUCCCCCAAGCACCUCAGGUCCUCCCUUAGGGGCCCUCACCCCCUUAGUUCCCGCCCUGCCUGAGCCAUCUGUCCAGGCACCGCCCACCUGGCCCCCUGCCCACCCUUGCCGGCUUCAGCCACCUGCCGCAGGCUUCAGCCACCUCCUGCCCGUUGGCUGACGCCUUCCUCCUUGCCGCCAUGGCCGGUUCCCUCUGCUUUGGGGAGGAUGAGCCCGAAGAAGGGGGUGCCCCCAGUGGCAGCAGGGACGUUGCAGAAGCCGCUCCCGAAGCCGAGAACUGCUGCUGCGGGGCCAUGCUGUGAUCAACGACCCGCGGUCUCCAGUCUCAGUGCGCAGCAUGACGGUGGCCGGCUCGUGCUGCCAGUCGGGUGCCUGGGGCGUGCCCAUGCUGCCUGCUCGUCCAUCCCGGGACCGACGUCGGUGGAAGGCGGUCUCUGCGCCAGAAGGCCUGCUUUGUUUACAGUUGGCCUCACGGCUGCAGGGUCCCACCCAAAGCCUUCAAGCGCGUUCCGAAUGACGGGGUUUGCUGAGCCCUGCACUGGCCAAAGGCUGCUCCGGGGCUGGCCUCCCACUGAACGGGCAGCCACCUCCGGGCGAGACGCCAGCCAGGGCCAGCACCCGUCCCGCACGUUCCUGUGCGUGGCCCCAUCUGUCUUUGCUCCUUUAGUGUCUUUCCAGCACUUUCAGGCACAGGAGUGAGACAUGCCCCCACAAAAGGCAUGCUCAGGCCCCCCGGCCCUGGGGGCGGGAGCCCGUCGGUGGACGGGGCCCAAACGAACCGGGGCUGGGCACUGACCCAGUGUGGCUGCUGUCCUCCUAAGCCCAGGAGACUGGACGAAGGAGAGGCCGCGGGAGCAGCCAGGAGCUGGACGUCGCCAGAACCCGGAUAGAAAGGAGAAGCCACCGCCGUGUGCGUCGCUACGUGGCAGGGCAGCGAAGGUCCAGGGCCGCGGGCAGCCAGCCCCAGAUGCCUCGGUCUUCACGGAGAAAGCGUCUCCUGGCCUCAAAACUCGGAGCCAAUGAAUUCCUGUUGUUUAAGCCAAACCAUUGGGUAGUAUUUGUUUUAGCAACUGGGAAACUAAAACACAUUUUUUUUCUUUAACUUUUUUAUUUUAUUAAUAGUGACAUCCAUAUAACCUAAAAUUUCCCCUUUUAACCACAUUCAGACAUAUAAUUGAGGAGUGUUAAUUAUGUUCACAAUGUUGUGCUACCCCAUUACCAAAAUGUCUCCAUCACACCAGACAAAUUCUGUACCAAUUGAGCAUCAACUCCCACUCCUCAGCCCCACCCUGGCCCUGUGUUCCAGUCUCUGACUCUCUGAAUUUGCUUAUUCGAGUUAUUUCAUAGCAGUGAGGUCGUUCACUGUUUGUCCUCGUGUCUUGCUUGUUUCACUGUACGUGAUGUUGUCAAGGUUAAUCCAUGCUGCUGCCCGAGUCAGCACUUCGCUUCUUUUUGUGGCUGCUGUGGCAUUGCGUGGAUGACAGUCCAGCGCACGUGCAUACCAGGUUAUCUACUUAUCCCUUGCGGACGGGAUUCAUUCCGCCUGUGGCUGUGGUGAGUAAUGCUGUGGUGACCCUGGUGGACGCGCUCCUGCCCAAGGCCCGGCCUCUCUCCUUUGGGUUUAUACUAGCAGUGGAUGCCGAGUCACCUGUAGCUCUACGUUGAACUCCGGGAGCUCUGCCAAAGUGUUCUCCGCAGCACCUGCACCGUUUACCUUCCACCAACAAGGCGUGAGGGUCCCGUUUCUCCACAGCCUCGCUAACGCUUGUCAUGCUCCGUUCUUUAAGUAAUAGCCAUCCCUGUGGGUGUGAAGUGGUAUCUCAUUAUAGUUGUUUUUUAAGAUUUAUUUAUUUAUCCUCCCCCCCUCCCCCUGUUGUCUGCUCUGUGUCCAUUCGCUGUGUGUUCUUCUGUGUCCACUUAUAUUCACAUUGGGCGGCUCUGGGAACCGAUCCUGGGACCUUCCAGAGUGGGCGAGAGGUGACCAUUCUCUUGCGCCACCUCAAGCUCCCUGGUCUGUUGUGUCUC